UGAGGAACAUGACCUUCGGCGGGGGAUAGCCGGCCCAACGGCCGGGUAAUACCGCGUACGACCAUUUGGGGACAUCCCCGAGUGGUGAAAGCAGCAAUGCGCCGAUGGAGUGCCUCGCGGCCUAUCAGCUAGUUGGUGGGGUAACGGCUCACCAAGGCAACGACGGGUAGCUGGUCUGAGAGGAUGGCCAGCCACAUUGGGACUGAGACACGGCCCAGACUCCUACGGGAGGNAGCG
rnacentral:rRNA from 1 species